rnacentral:lncRNA from 1 species
AUGGGGCCUGAGUGGAGGGGGUCGAGCCCAGGGGCGGGGCCGGGGCCAGGUGCGAUCCGCCGGCACCCACCUCGCAGGUGCCUAGCGGGGGUCGUCGGGGACCCAGAGAUUUCCUUCCCCCGGCUCCCGCGCCUCACUGUCACUCGCGUGGUCGGGCGUGGGGGGAGUCCGGGCCGCGGGAGCCGCUCCACCCCCAACCCCCCCCCCCCCCCCCCCCCCCCCCCCCCCCCCCCCCCCCCCCCCCCCCCCCCCCCCCCCCCCCCCCCCCCCCCCCCCCCCCCCCCCCCCCCCCCCCCCCCCCCCCCCCCCCCCCCCCCCCCCCCCCCCCCCCCCCCCCCCCCCCCCCCCCCCCCCCCCCCCCCCCCCCCCCCCCCCCCCCCCCCCCCCCCCCCCCCCCCCCCCCCCCCCCCCCCCCCCCCCCCCCCCCCCCCCCCCCCCCCCCCCCCCCCCCCCCCCCCCCCCCCCCCCCCCCCCCCCCCCCCCCCCCCCCCCCCCCCCCCCCCCCCCCCCCCCCCCCCCCCCCCCCCCCCCCCCCCCCCCCCCCCCCCCCCCCCCCCCCCCCCCCCCCCCCCCCCCCCCCCCCCCCCCCCCCCCCCCCCCCCCCCCCCCCCCCCCCCCCCCCCCCCCCCCCCCCCCCCCCCCCCCCCCCCCCCCCCCCCCCCCCCCCCCCCCCCCCCCCCCCCCCCCCCCCCCCCCCCCCCCCCCCCCCCCCCCCCCCCCCCCCCCCCCCCCCCCCCCCCCCCCCCCCCCCCCCCCCCCCCCCCCCCCCCCCCCCCCCCCCCCCCCCCCCCCCCCCCCCCCCCCCCCCCCCCCCCCCCCCCCCCCCCCCCCCCCCCCCCCCCCCCCCCCCCCCCCCCCCCCCCCCCCCCCCCCCCCCCCCCCCCCCCCCCCCCCCCCCCCCCCCCCCCCCCCCCCCCCCCCCCCCCCCCCCCCCCCCCCCCCCCCCCCCCCCCCCCCCCCCCCCCCCCCCCCCCCCCCCCCCCCCCCCCCCCCCCCCCCCCCCCCCCCCCCCCCCCCCCCCCCCCCCCCCCCCCCCCCCCCCCCCCCCCCCCCCCCCCCCCCCCCCCCCCCCCCCCCCCCCCCCCCCCCCCCCCCCCCCCCCCCCCCCCCCCCCCCCCCCCCCCCCCCCCCCCCCCCCCCCCCCCCCCCCCCCCCCCCCCCCCCCCCCCCCCCCCCCCCCCCCCCCCCCCCCCCCCCCCCCCCCCCCCCCCCCCCCCCCCCCCCCCCCCCCCCCCCCCCCCCCCCCCCCCCCCCCCCCCCCCCCCCCCCCCCCCCCCCCCCCCCCCCCCCCCCCCCCCCCCCCCCCCCCCCCCCCCCCCCCCCCCCCCCCCCCCCCCCCCCCCCCCCCCCCCCCCCCCCCCCCCCCCCCCCCCCCCCCCCCCCCCCCCCCCCCCCCCCCCCCCCCCCCCCCCCCCCCCCCCCCCCCCCCCCCCCUGGGGCCCUGGGUGGCGAGGGCUGUUCUCGGUUUACCGGCUGGAAGGCUGGUUUAGGGAUAUCUAG